CCUACGGGAGGCAGCAGUGAGGAAUAUUGGUCAAUGGACGAGAGUCUGAACCAGCCAAGUAGCGUGAAGGAUGACUGCCCUAUGGGUUGUAAACUUCUUUUAUAUGGGAAUAAAAUGUUCCACGUGUGGGAUUUUGUAUGUACCAUAUGAAUAAGGAUCGGCUAACUCCGUGCCAGCAGCCGCGGUAAUACGGAGGAUCCGAGCGUUAUCCGGAUUUAUUGGGUUUAAAGGGAGCGUCGGUGGAUUGUUAAGUCAGUUGUGAAAGUUUGCGGCUCAACCGUAAAAUUGCAGUUGAAACUGGCAGUCUUGAGUACAGUAGAGGUGGGCGGAAUUCGUGGUGUAGCGGUGAAAUGCUUAGAUAUCACGAAGAACUCCGAUUGCGAAGGCAGUUCACUGGACUGCAACUGACACUGAGGCUCGAAAGUGUGGGUAUCAAACAGGAUUAGAUACCCCAGUAGUC
rnacentral:rRNA from 1 species